rnacentral:rRNA from 1 species
UAGUUAUGUUCUUGAAACUUAAAAAAUUUGGCGGUAUUUUAGUCUAUUCAGAGGAACCUGUCCUAUAAUCGAUAAUCCACGUUGGACCUCACUUAAAUUUGUUUUCAGUAUGUAUACCGUCGUUAUAAGAAUAUUUUAUAAGAAUAAUAAUUUUCUAGAUUUUUUAUAAAAAUUUAUAUCAGAUCAAGGUGCAGCUUAUAUUUAAGAAGAGAUGGGUUACAAUAAAAAUAUUUAUACGGAUUAAUUUUUGAAAAAUAAUUAUGAAGGUGGAUUUGAAUGUAAAAUUAUGAAGAUUAAUAAUUUGAUUUUAGCUCUAAAAUAUGUACACAUCGCCCGUCACUCUUAUUAUUAAGGUAAGAUAAGUCGUAACAUAGUAGAUGUACUGGAAAGUGUAUCUAGAAUGCAAUUUAAAGCUUAAAUAGUAAAGCAUUUCAUUUACAUUGAAAAGAUUUUUGUGCAAAUCAAUAUAAAUUGAAUAGAUUUUAUUUAUUAAUAAUUUUGUUUGUAAUUUUUUUUUAUUAGAAAUAACUGUAAAUUAUAGUGUUUUAGUAUUUUAUAAAGAAUAAAUAAUUUUAAUAAUAGUGUAUUAGUAUUGUAAAAGAAAAUUGAAAUAAUU